rnacentral:hammerhead_ribozyme from 1 species
AUUAAUGACGAGUCCCAAAUAGUACGAAAUGCGCAUCCUGGAU